rnacentral:sRNA from 1 species
CGUGCCGCGCGUGCCGCUUGCGUGCGCAUUUCAUAUAAAAAGAAGCAAGAAUUGCCAGUUCAAAGGGUACAAUCAAAAUAGUACCAGCGAAGCCCGCACUUGGUUAAAACGUCACGGGCGGCGCAAGGUAUUAUUGGUUAGAGGGGCCGGUUGCCGUCGGCCC